rnacentral:tRNA from 1 species
GAGGGUAUUGCUCAGUGGCAGAGUGCAUGCUUACCGUGUACAAGAUCCUGGGUUCAAUCCCCAGUACCUCCA